AUCAUUUGGGGAUCUUGUUAAAUAGCAGAUUUUGAAUCUGUAGGUCUGGGUGUGGCCUGAGAAUCUGCAGUUUCUAACAAGCUCCCAAGUGAUGCCUA
rnacentral:pre_miRNA from 1 species